GAUGAAGAACGCAGCGAAAUGCGAUAAGUAGUGUGAAUUGCAGACUUUAGUGAAUCAUCGAAUCUUUGAACGCACAUUGCGCCCCUUGGUAUUCCAUUGGGCAUGUCUGUUCGAGCGUCAUUUACACCCUCAAGCCUAGCUUGGUGUUGGGCGUUGUCCGCAAGGACUCGCCUCAAAUUCAUUGGCAGCGGCAUCGUCAGCUUCUCGCGCAGCACAUUGCGCUUCAGAAGGCUUCUGGCGGGCUCGCGUCCACUAAGAUACCACCCAGUUUGACCUCGAAUCAGGUAGGGAUACCCGCUGAACUUAAGCAUAUCAAUAAGCGGAGGA
rnacentral:misc_RNA from 1 species